rnacentral:rRNA from 1 species
UACGGAGGGUGCAAGCGUUACUCGGAAUUACUGGGCGUAAAGCGCGUGUAGGUGGUUACGUAAGUUUGGUGUGAAAUCCCGGGGCUCAACUCCGGAAGUGCAUUGAAUACUGCGUAACUAGAGUGCAGGAGAGGAUGGCGGAAUUCCAGGUGUAGAGGUGAAAUUCGUAGAUAUCUGGAGGAACAUCAGAGGCGAAGGCGGCCAUCUGGACUGCAACUGACACUGAGACGCGAAAGCGUGGGGAGCAAACAGG